AUUUUGAUGCCUGUGCCGCUGGAGUUCUGGGCACGGGUUUGGGCAGAUGUAACUGAGGUUACAGCUUCAUCUUUGUCUAAAUCCUAACCUAUAUUUUGUUCGUGGUUUUGAACGUCACGUUGUUGGAUUCUAUUCUCAGGCUGGACACGUUGGUUUUGGGUUCGCGGCUUGAAUAUUUUGUGUAAAUUGCGGCUCCGCUUUUUGAAUGUUGAUGUCUUGUUCGGCUGAUUUUCCUCAAUUCGUUUUCAGGGCGCAAGAGCGGAAAUAAGUCCUUGAAUUAUUAUUAACUCUUGCAUUCAUUAACCAUUUGGUACAAGUCUUUUUGCAAAGGGGAUUCAUGUUCUACUGAGACCAGUGUACAAGAAUGGGACUGUUUCAUGUCGAGUGCCCUAAUGUGGACUGAGCAUUCCUCGGGUCGCUGAAUAAAAUGGGAUUCACAAACCGACAGCAUUUGAAUGAAUCGUAACGCAUACAUUUCGUCGUCAUAUCGGUUCUUAGAGCCGACUGGAGAUGAGUUUCGGAUGUUUACCAACCUAUUCAAAUUCAGUUGAAAACGCUGAAAUACACGGUCUUUAUUGUCAUAAGUUUAACGAAUAUCCUCAAUAUUUAAUGAUUAGCUUUGUUCUUAUAUUUUUAAAAAGUUAUUUGUCGAUUAAUUUCAACAUUAAAAUAUACAAAAGAUCAGACUUUUUAAACUAUUAUAUGCUUAUGUGUUCCAUACAUGGGUCUUUAAAAUAGUAAAAUCCAAGCUCUGAAGGCUGAGGACAGAAUGAGCAAAUAUCCCAGAGGGUUUUGUGGGAUAGCAACAAAGAGCUUCCUGUUCCCACCUUCUGGUCUCAGAGAAUCGUUGUGGCUUUGGCAUCUGUCAUAAGCUGCCUUGUGUGCAUCUGAACUGUACAGACACUGCCAUCUUUAGAAUAUUUGAACGAACAAUUUCGAUUCUUUAUUGCUUUAGAGAAUAAACUGUUUAGUUCGCCGCGUUAGUUUAGUGCUAAUGAUUUAAUGAAAACACCUGUAAAUCGUAUUGUAAAUAAAUGCCAAAGCUGCAGCCCUUACUCUUACAGAAUCAUAAGUAGCAACAGAAAAUGUAUUUUUUCCAAUCAACCAGAAAUACAUACGCCUGCCAAGACAUCUAUAGUGAAAACAGGUGUAAGAUUAUCUUUCCCUGCAAUGACCAUUACCUCAGAUCACAAAGAUUCGGGUCUGAAAUGUAUAAAAAUAGUUUGCUCAUAUAUUAAUCUCCAUUGGAUUAAGGGGGCUGGAAUGAUUAUCAUUUCAUUGAGUAUUGUGUAAAGUUAUUUCAUGUUGCUUGGCUGUGUUCACUCUUGUUUGCUGCUUGUCGGCUGGUCCUGCUCCUUAGUUACUGCCCAUCAUCUCAUUCACAAUUGAUCUCAAUUGCAGUUUAGGCACAGCAAAUCUUACAUUUUCUAUAUGAUAAUAUACUAUUUAAUGUUUUUGCCCCCAACUUUUAUUUUGAGAGAGCAGAGAGAUUUUGAUAAGAUUUCUGACCUAAAGAUUUGAAAGUGAGAAAAAGCAUUUACAGUGACAUGACCCCUCUUUGUAGCGCAUGUACUCUACGCUUCUCAACAUCUUGAGAUUUCUGACUGCUCUCCUCUAUUUAAAAAUAAUGUUGCAGAGGAUGAUUUGGUACAUAGCCAAAGCUUUUUUUUUUACAACAGUGCAUCUUGUGAAUUCUGUAGGUGAAGAGUAAUACAUGAUAUUGAUGUUACUAGUAAGUUAGAGGGCAGGGAGAGUUGCAUAGUGCGUACAAUCAGAGGAGAAAGCAAAGAUUGGAUGAGUAGUUAAGAAAAAAAUAACAAGAACACCUGCUACAGACUAAAGGAUAAUUGUAGAAAUUACAUCAAGGAGACUGUCCAUGGAAACCAUCUUGUUUCUAGUUCUUCACCUGCACCCUCCUGCUGUAAUCCAUUUUCACUGCCCUUUCCCAUUUUUCAUUUUUCUUUAACAAAUGCAUAUCUAACUCCCUUUCAAAUGAUACAAAUUCUGCUUCAACUGCCUUUGUGGUAAAGCAUUCUAAAUUUUAAAUCUCUAUAAAGCAUAUUUUAGCUUCAUUUUUACUAUUAAUAUCUGAAUCAGUGCCCUCAUAUUACCAAUUUAGCAACCAAACAAUAUUUGCUAUUUACCCUUUCAGAAUUUUGAAAAGCCCUGUCAUGUUCCCUUCAUCUUUUUGUUCUGGCAAAUAAAACCUAAUUUAUUGAGUUGCCUUCAUACUAUAACCUUUGGUUCUGUAUUCCAUUGAAUCAUUCUUGUAUUGUUUGUAUGGCUGUAGUAUCCAUUGUGUAACUGAUCGCCCAUAUACAUAAUAUUCCAACAGUAGUUAAACUGAUAUUUUGUACAAAUUCACUUACCUGAUUUUAUGUUCAUUGUACCUAUGCGUAAACCCAAGAAACACAUUUACCCUUUUUAAUAGUUUUUCCUACCUGUACUCAUCAUUAAAGAUUAUUUUAUUUGUA